ACUCAAAGGAAUUGACGGGGGCCCGCACAAGCGGAGGAACAUGUGGUUUAAUUCGAUGAUACGCGAGGAACCUUACCCGGGCUUGAAAGUUAGCGACGAACCGAGAAAUUGGUUUUCCCUUCGGGGCGCGAAACUAGGUGCUGCAUGGUUGUCGUCAGCUCGUGCCGUGAGGUGUCGGGUUAAGUCCCAUAACGAGCGCAACCCCUACCGUUAGUUGCCAUCAGGUUAAGCUGGGAACUCUAGCGGGACUGCCGGUGUAAGCCGAGAGGAGGGUGGGGAUGACGUCAAAUCAGCACGGCCCUUACGUCCGGGGCGACACACGUGUUACAAUGGUGAGUACAGAGGGUAGCUACCUGGUGACAGGAUGCCAAUCUCGAAAACUCAUCUCAGUUCGGAUCGGAGGCUGAAACUCGCCUCCGUGAAGUUGGAUUCGCUAGUAAUCGCGCAUCAGCCAUGGCGCGGUGAAUACGUUCCCGGGCCUUGUACACACCGCCCGU
rnacentral:rRNA from 1 species